GACGAACGCUGGCGGCGUGCUUAACACAUGCAAGUCGAACGACGCGGCGAACGGGUGAGUAAUACGUGAGUACCCUGCCCUCCUUUUUGGGAUAAGCCUUGGAAACGGGGUCUAAUACCGAAUAAAGGGGGAUGGGCUCGCGGCCUAUCAGCUUGUUGGUGGGGUGAUGGCCUACCAAGGCGGUGACGGGUAGCCGGCCUGAGAGGGUGACCGGCCACAUUGGGACUGAGAUACGGCCCAGACUCCUACGUGAGGCAGCAGUGGGGGAUAUUGCACAAUGGGCGAAAGCCUGAUGCAGCGGCGCGGAGUGGGGGAUGAGGGUUUGCGGGUUGUAGACCUCUUUCGCUAUAGAACAGGUGGGUGGAGAAGAAGCGCCGGCUAACUACGGGCCAGCCGCCGCGGUAAUUC
rnacentral:rRNA from 1 species